rnacentral:lncRNA from 1 species
GACCGACGCUGCUCGACCAUGCGAUUCGUCCGUCGUGGAUGUCACCAAGUGAGCGUCAGCAGCCGAUGGCAACCGGCCAUCGAGUGACGCGGUUGCUGCCAGCAGCCGGCGUACGUGCUCAACAACGAUGUUAGCGUCAUCUGGACGCAACACAACGACGACAUGUCAACGGACGGUGACACAGCGACGUUGGCGUCAGCACCGUCUUCCUAAAAUCUGCGCGUUGGUGCAGCAGGCACACGGUGGACACGUGCACAUAACUGAUGCAUCGUGGCUCUGCCGUGCUCGUGUGUAGCAUGAACACCGUCUCCUAUAUGUAGUCAACAAGUUUCUCAUAAAUGCGAGAUCGAUCCGUAUUGGUGGCCGACAUCCGUUUCGCUGCGAUCUCGUGAGAAAAAUCUACAUAAUAGGUAAAACUAAUCCGAAAAAUUACGGGAUCGCAAAAACGGAAUUGUGAUAACGAGGGGUCCAUUUUUGUAAAGAGAGGGGGUCGGAUUUAUACCUCCAUGCGAUCGACGAUAGCCUGCUUGGUGCAGGCUUGACGCAGGCUCGAUGGAGAGUUGGUGGAGCGAAGCAUGCUGGUAACGUGUUCCGCAACUCCUGCCGACGAGUCCGGUCCAAGGUUGCGGAGCAUGAGCGGAAGUCGUAGACAAAGUAGUCGAACACACAGAGUCAAAGGACACCAGAAAGUAGAGAGGGGAACACAGCUUUAUUAAUC